UUGAAGAGUUUGAUCAUGGCUCAGAUUGAACGCUGGCGGCAGGCCUAACACAUGCAAGUCGAACGGUAACAGAAAGCAGCUUGCUGCUUUGCUGACGAGUGGCGGACGGGUGAGUAAUGUCUGGGAAACUGCCUGAUGGAGGGGGAUAACUACUGGAAACGGUAGCUAAUACCGCAUAACGUCGCAAGACCAAAGAGGGGGACCUUCGGGCCUCUUGCCAUCGGAUGUGCCCAGAUGGGAUUAGCUUGUUGGUGGGGUAACGGCUCACCAAGGCGACGAUCCCUAGCUGGUCUGAGAGGAUGACCAGCCACACUGGAACUGAGACACGGUCCAGACUCCUACGGGAGGCAGCAGUGGGGAAUAUUGCACAAUGGGCGCAAGCCUGAUGCAGCCAUGCCGCGUGUAUGAAGAAGGCCUUCGGGUUGUAAAGUACUUUCAGCGGGGAGGAAGGGAGUAAAGUUAAUACCUUUGCUCAUUGACGUUACCCGCAGAAGAAGCACCGGCUAACUCCGUGCCAGCAGCCGCGGUAAUACGGAGGGUGCAAGCGUUAAUCGGAAUUACUGGGCGUAAAGCGCACGCAGGCGGUUUGUUAAGUCAGAUGUGAAAUCCCCGGGCUCAACCUGGGAACUGCAUCUGAUACUGGCAAGCUUGAGUCUCGUAGAGGGGGGUAGAAUUCCAGGUGUAGCGGUGAAAUGCGUAGAGAUCUGGAGGAAUACCGGUGGCGAAGGCGGCCCCCUGGACGAAGACUGACGCUCAGGUGCGAAAGCGUGGGGAGCAAACAGGAUUAGAUACCCUGGUAGUCCACGCCGUAAACGAUGUCGACUUGGAGGUUGUGCCCUUGAGGCGUGGCUUCCGGAGCUAACGCGUUAAGUCGACCGCCUGGGGAGUACGGCCGCAAGGUUAAAACUCAAAUGAAUUGACGGGGGCCCGCACAAGCGGUGGAGCAUGUGGUUUAAUUCGAUGCAACGCGAAGAACCUUACCUGGUCUUGACAUCCACGGAAGUUUUCAGAGAUGAGAAUGUGCCUUCGGGAACCGUGAGACAGGUGCUGCAUGGCUGUCGUCAGCUCGUGUUGUGAAAUGUUGGGUUAAGUCCCGCAACGAGCGCAACCCUUAUCCUUUGUUGCCAGCGGUCCGGCCGGGAACUCAAAGGAGACUGCCAGUGAUAAACUGGAGGAAGGUGGGGAUGACGUCAAGUCAUCAUGGCCCUUACGACCAGGGCUACACACGUGCUACAAUGGCGCAUACAAAGAGAAGCGACCUCGCGAGAGCAAGCGGACCUCAUAAAGUGCGUCGUAGUCCGGAUUGAGUCUGCAACUCGACUCCAUGAAGUCGGAAUCGCUAGUAAUCGUGGAUCAGAAUGCCACGGUGAAUACGUUCCCGGGCCUUGUACACACCGCCCGUCACACCAUGGGAGUGGGUUGCAAAAGAAGUAGGUAGCUUAACCUUCGGGAGGGCGCUUACCACUUUGUGAUUCAUGACUGGGGUGAAGUCGUAACAAGGUAACCGUAGGGGAACCUGCGGUUGGAUCACCUCCUU
rnacentral:rRNA from 1 species